UCAAGUGAAGAAGCGCAUACGGUGGAUGCCUUGGCAGUCAGAGGCGAUGAAAGACGUGGUAGCCUGCGAAAAGCUUCGGGGAGUCGGCAAACAGACUGUGAUCCGGAGAUGUCUGAAUGGGGGAACCCAGCCAUCACAAGAUGGUUAUCUUACACUGAAUACAUAGGUGUAAGAGGCGAACCAGGGGAACUGAAACAUCUAAGUACCCUGAGGAAAAGAAAUCAACCGAGAUUCCCUUAGUAGUGGCGAGCGAACGGGGACCAGCCCUUAAGUUGUAUUGAGAUUAGCGGAACGCUCUGGAAAGUGCGGCCAUAGUGGGUGAUAGCCCUGUACGCGAAAAUCCCUUUGCAAUGAAAUCGAGUAGGACGGGGCACGAGAAACCUUGUCUGAAUAUGGGGGGACCAUCCUCCAAGGCUAAAUACUACUGACUGACCGAUAGUGAACCAGUACCGUGAGGGAAAGGCGAAAAGAACCGCGGAGAGCGGAGUGAAAUAGAUCCUGAAACCGUAUGCGUACAAGCAGUGGGAGCCCACUUUGUUGGGUGACUGCGUACCUUUUGUAUAAUGGGUCAGCGACUUAUUUUCAGUGGCGAGCUUAACCGAAUAGGGGAGGCGUAGCGAAAGCGAGUCUUAAUAGGGCGUCUAGUCGCUGGGAAUAGACCCGAAACCGGGCGAUCUAUCCAUGGGCAGGUUGAAGGUUGGGUAACACUAACUGGAGGACCGAACCGACUACCGUUGAAAAGUUAGCGGAUGACCUGUGGAUCGGAGUGAAAGGCUAAUCAAGCUCGGAGAUAGCUGGUUCUCCUCGAAAGCUAUUUAGGUAGCGCCUCAUGUAUCACUGUAGGGGGUAGAGCACUGUUUCGGCUAGGGGGUCAUCCCGACUUACCAAACCGAUGCAAACUCCGAAUACCUACAAGUGCCGAGCAUGGGAGACACACGGCGGGUGCUAACGUCCGUCGUGAAAAGGGAAACAACCCAGACCGUCAGCUAAGGUCCCAAAGUCAUGGUUAAGUGGGAAACGAUGUGGGAAGGCUUAGACAGCUAGGAGGUUGGCUUAGAAGCAGCCACCCUUUAAAGAAAGCGUAAUAGCUCACUAGUCGAGUCGGCCUGCGCGGAAGAUGUAACGGGGCUCAAACCAUGCACCGAAGCUACGGGUAUCACCUUUGGUGAUGCGGUAGAGGAGCGUUCUGUAAGCCUGUGAAGGUGAGUUGAGAAGCUUGCUGGAGGUAUCAGAAGUGCGAAUGCUGACAUGAGUAACGACAAUGGGUGUGAAAAACACCCACGCCGAAAGACCAAGGUUUCCUGCGCAACGUUAAUCGACGCAGGGUUAGUCGGUCCCUAAGGCGAGGCUGAAAAGCGUAGUCGAUGGAAAACAGGUUAAUAUUCCUGUACUUCUGGUUAUUGCGAUGGAGGGACGGAGAAGGCUAGGCCAGCCUGGCGUUGGUAGUCCAGGUUUAAGGUGGUAGGCUGAGAUCUUAGGUAAAUCCGGGAUCUUAAGGCCGAGAGCUGAUGACGAGUGUUCUUUUAGAACAUGAAGUGGUUGAUGCCAUGCUUCCAAGAAAAGCUUCUAAGCUUCAGGUAACCAGGAACCGUACCCCAAACCGACACAGGUGGUUGGGUAGAGAAUACCAAGGCGCUUGAGAGAACUCGGGUGAAGGAACUAGGCAAAAUGGCACCGUAACUUCGGGAGAAGGUGCGCCGGUGAGGGUGAAGCAUUUACUGCGUAAGCCCACGCCGGUCGAAGAUACCAGGCCGCUGCGACUGUUUAUUAAAAACACAGCACUCUGCAAACACGAAAGUGGACGUAUAGGGUGUGACGCCUGCCCGGUGCCGGAAGGUUAAUUGAUGGGGUUAGCGCAAGCGAAGCUCUUGAUCGAAGCCCCGGUAAACGGCGGCCGUAACUAUAACGGUCCUAAGGUAGCGAAAUUCCUUGUCGGGUAAGUUCCGACCUGCACGAAUGGCGUAACGAUGGCGGCGCUGUCUCCACCCGAGACUCAGUGAAAUUGAAAUCGCUGUGAAGAUGCAGUGUAUCCGCGGCUAGACGGAAAGACCCCGUGAACCUUUACUAUAGCUUUGCACUGGACUUUGAAUUUGCUUGUGUAGGAUAGGUGGGAGGCUUUGAAGCGUGGACGCCAGUCUGCGUGGAGCCAACCUUGAAAUACCACCCUGGCAACUUUGAGGUUCUAACUCAGGUCCGUUAUCCGGAUCGAGGACAGUGUAUGGUGGGUAGUUUGACUGGGGCGGUCUCCUCCUAAAGAGUAACGGAGGAGUACGAAGGUGCGCUCAGACCGGUCGGAAAUCGGUCGUAGAGUAUAAAGGCAAAAGCGCGCUUGACUGCGAGACAGACACGUCGAGCAGGUACGAAAGUAGGUCUUAGUGAUCCGGUGGUUCUGUAUGGAAGGGCCAUCGCUCAACGGAUAAAAGGUACUCCGGGGAUAACAGGCUGAUACCGCCCAAGAGUUCAUAUCGACGGCGGUGUUUGGCACCUCGAUGUCGGCUCAUCACAUCCUGGGGCUGAAGCCGGUCCCAAGGGUAUGGCUGUUCGCCAUUUAAAGUGGUACGCGAGCUGGGUUUAGAACGUCGUGAGACAGUUCGGUCCCUAUCUGCCGUGGACGUUUGAGAUUUGAGAGGGGCUGCUCCUAGUACGAGAGGACCGGAGUGGACGAACCUCUGGUGUUCCGGUUGUCACGCCAGUGGCAUUGCCGGGUAGCUAUGUUCGGAAAAGAUAACCGCUGAAAGCAUCUAAGCGGGAAACUUGCCUCAAGAUGAGAUCUCACUGGAACCUAGAGUUCCCUGAAGGGCCGUCGAAGACUACGACGUUGAUAGGUUGGGUGUGUAAGCGCUGUGAGGCGUUGAGCUAACCAAUACUAAUUGCCCGUGAGGCUUGACC
rnacentral:rRNA from 1 species